UCAGAACGAACGCUGGCGGCAGGCCUAAUACAUGCAAGUCGAGCGCGCCCUUCGGGGUGAGCGGCGGACGGGUGAGUAACGCGUGGGAAUAUGCCCUUCUCUAAGGAAUAGCCUCUGGAAACGGAGAGUAAUACCUUAUACGCCCUUUGGGGGAAAGAUUUAUCGGAGAAGGAUUAGCCCGCGUUAGAUUAGGUAGUUGGUGGGGUAAUGGCCUACCAAGCCUACGAUCUAUAGCUGGUUUGAGAGGAUGAUCAGCCACACUGGGACUGAGACACGGCCCAGACUCCUACGGGAGGCAGCAGUAGGGAAUCUUAGACAAUGGGGGCAACCCUGAUCUAGCCAUGCCGCGUGUGUGAUGAAGGCCCUAGGGUCGUAAAGCACUUUCGCCAGAGAUGAUAAUGACAGUAUCUGGUAAAGAAACCCCGGCUAACUCCGUGCCAGCAGCCGCGGUAAUACGGAGGGGGUUAGCGUUGUUCGGAAUUACUGGGCGUAAAGCGCACGUAGGCGGAUUAGUAAGUUAGAGGUGAAAUCCCAGGGCUCAACCCUGGAACUGCCUUUAAUACUGCUAGUCUUGAGUUCGAGAGAGGUAAGUGGAAUUCCGAGUGUAGAGGUGAAAUUCGUAGAUAUUCGGAGGAACACCAGUGGCGAAGGCGGCUUACUGGCUCGAUACU
rnacentral:rRNA from 1 species